GCUGAGACUGGAGUCACAUCCCGACCCAGAACUUGUCCUGGUGUGCCACAGUUCUCUGGUUUUGAUUCACUGGAGGGGACAGUUAAUGUCCACAUUACUGCCCAGAUCAGAAAAGUAG
ensembl:snoRNA